rnacentral:rRNA from 1 species
CUAUUUGAUGGUUCGCCGUCGAGUAGCUAGUGAUGUCAUACUUCCAAGAAAAGCUCAUACAUCCUUAUAAUUUAAUUCCCUGUACCUGAAACCGACACAGGUAGGUUGGUAGAGAAUACCAAGGGGCGCGAGAGAACUCUCUCUAAGGAACUCGGCAAACUGGCCCCGUAACUUCGGAAGAAGGGGCGCCCUUUGAAUAAAAGGGUCGCAGUGACCAGGCCCAGGCGACUGUUUACCAAAAACACAGGUCUCCGCAAAGUCGUAAGACAAUAUAUGGGGGCUGACGCCUGCCCAGUGCCGGAAGGUUAAGGAAGUUGGUUAUUUCGUAAGAAAAAAGCUGACGACCGAAGCCCCGGUGAACGGCGGUCGUAACGAUAACGAUCCUAAGGUAGCGAAAUUCAUUGUCGAGUAAGUUUCGACCUGCACGAAAGGCGUAACGAUCUGGGCGCUGUCUCGGAGAGAGGCUCGGUGAAAUAGACUUGUCCCGUGAAGAUGCGGACUACCUACACCUGGACAGAAAGACCCUAAAGCUUGACUGUAUCUUGGAAUUGGGUUUGGGCUUUUCUUGCGCAGCCUAGGUGGGAGGCUAUGAAGAUUACCUUCCGGGGUAAUUAGAGCCGUCAUUGAGAGACCACUCUGGAAGAGCUAGAAUCCUAAUGGGGAUCCUUGAAUCAGGACCCUUGACAGUUUCAGGUGGGCAGUUUAUUUGGGGCGAAUGCCUCCUAAAAGGUAACGGAGGCGUGCAAAGGUUCCCUCAGUCUGGACGGAAAUCAGACAUUGAGUGUAAAGGCAAAAGGGAGCUUGACUGCAAGACCUACAAGUCGAGCAGGGGCGAAAGCCGGCCUUAGUGAUCCGACGGUGCCGAGUGGAAGGGCCGUCGCUCAACGGAUAAAAGUUACUCUAGGAUAACAGGCUGAUCUUCCCCAAGAGUUCACAUCGACGGGAAGGUUUGGCACCUCGAUGUCGGCUCAUCACAUCCUCGGUCUGUAGUAGGUCCGAAGGGUUGGGCUGUUCGCCCAUUAAAGUGGUACGUGAGCUGGGUUCAAAACGUCGUGAGACAGUUUGGUCCAUAUCCGGUGUAGGCGCUAGAGCAUUGAGAGUAGCCUUUCAUAGUACGAGAGGACCUGAAAGGACAUGCCUAUUGUGUACCAGUUCUCAUUCCAAUGGGAAACGCUGGGUAGCUACGCAUGGAUAGAUAACUGCUGAAAGCAUCUAAGUAGGAAGCUAAACUCAAGAUGAGUGCUCUCUAAGGCCGCGGCUAGACAAGCCGUUAUAUAGGUAUCAGGUGUACAGUCAGCAAUGGCUUCAGCCGAGAUAUACUAAAGGCC